AACAACUACAUUUUAGUAUCCCACUUUCGAACUCCAACAACUACAUUUUAACGCAUUUUAUUUUAUUUUUAAUUUUUAUGUAUGACCUAUUAUCUCGGUUGAGCUAACAACCGAGGGGAAAACUUUUGUCCAAUUUGAUGAAAAAAUUUAGUAAUGAAUCUUUGUCAUCCAUUUAUAAAGUAACAAAAUUCAAGACAUUGUAAACUCAUAAAUCUAUAUAAAACAUAUGUGAUUCACGUGAAACUCUCACCGACCAAUCAGAAUGUGAAUGCCACUACCAUCC
rnacentral:lncRNA from 1 species